rnacentral:rRNA from 1 species
UACGUAGGGGGCGAGCGUUGUCCGGAAUCAUUGGGCGUAAAGAGCGUGUAGGCGGCUUGGCAAGUCUGACGUGAAAGCCCGCGGCUCAACCGCGGAUUGUCGUUGGAAACUGCCUCGCUAGAGUCCGGAAGAGGAGAGCGGAAUUCCUGGUGUAGCGGUGAAAUGCGUAGAUAUCAGGAGGAACACCGGUGGUGUAGACGGCUCACUGGACCGUAACUGACGCUGAGACACGAAAGCGUGGGUAGCAAACAGG